rnacentral:lncRNA from 1 species
AUUUACUCCACCUUAAUUUUUCUACGGGCUUAUUUUGAGGUGCUGUUGACACCCAAUUUUGACCCUCCCCGAUAAUAAUUAAUUUCUGAGCCUCUUAACUCUUCAAACGAAUUAAAAAUAAUUAGACUUUAUAAAAUUCAAAUAUUUUAAGGCUAUUCUAAGUAAUUCCGUCGAUUUUUAUAGUAUUUUGAGUAAUAAAGUUAUUUCAUAUAAUUAUAUACGUAGUUAGUACAUUUUACAAAUAUUUGAAAACACCAUAUCAAAAAUUUCUAAGUUUGUUAAGACAAGUAUUUUAUUAAUUUAGUUAGUACAACUUAUAGUUAUAAUCCUUAGUUAUUCAAAUUGAUUAUUUUAUAAUCAAUUAAUUAUUUCAUUUCAUUAAGAUUAAGAAGCUUCCUAAUUAAUUUAUGAAAAAUUCGUCUUGUUUAAAUAUCGGCCAAAAUUCGGAUAUAAUUGAAAUUCUUCCUGACUAUUAUUUAUUUGCAAUCUUAGCCAAUUGUUUACUCGAUCUUUGACUAAAUUAGAAGAGCAAUUUUGGGCUGAAUUCAAUUUCCCACGCAGCCCAAUGUCCCCUCCCAGCAGCCAUUUCUCUAGGUUUUUAAUUCCAAGCCCAAUUCAACCUUUUCUUCCUCCAACUCCAGUCAGCUUAAGCCCCGACCCGGCCCUUUUCCUCAUUCAACAAGACCCAUUUCUAGUUCAAUGUUACCAGUUCACAAGCGACAAUAGCUCACUCACAACGUCAAUACACGGAAAAGCAACAACAAUAGAAGGCGAUACUCUGUUUUCUUUGUUCUCUUCUUCAGACGUCCCUUUCCAAUUUAUACGAUUUCAGCAAGCAAGCAACGUGCUUCGUCCUUGUGACCUGGAGAUGAAGCCACGUCGUCGCUCAAGGACGAUUGAUCAAUCCCAAGCAUCUAUUCGCCUUUUCCUUUUUCGGAAUGAAUUAAAACCUUAGGAAAGGGUGUUUGUCCAAAAUGGUGAAAGUUUUUGGAUUUUGAAAUUUGAAUGGACCUUGAAUCCAAAAGGGGACCCGAAAUCCCCCCCCCCCCCAUUUCCUCUUAUUCAUAGUUGGGGGCAGAGAGAAAAGUGGUAAAAAAAAGAGUUGUAAAAAAGAUUAAAGAUUUUUGGUUGGAGAAAAUAUUGGAGAAGAGUUGGAUUUUUUUUAGCAAAAAAAAAGAAUACAGAGGCUUGAGCAUUAGUAUUUUAAAUACAAACUAAAAUACGUUUCAGAGAUAGAGGAUACAAUAGUUUUUUUUAGGUGUUUGGGUUCAGUUCUCUGCUCAAAUCUCUUGUCCACUGUUCGUUUCGAGUUCUUGUGGUAGAAGGGUCGGUUCCUUGCUCAUUUGUAUCCCAGUCGAUGCUCAUCAAAAGGUAUACAACUCUCGACUCUCUCAUUUUAUUUAUGUUCCAGUAAAUGUCCGAGAUUUGAGUUGUGUUCUGUAUUGGUGUGAUUCGAUUGUUUGAGUAUAGAUGAUGACAGGUGGAUGCCUUGGUUGCUGUUGUUCUUGUUUUUCUUGACUUUCAUAGCUUUUCGAAACACUUCUUCAAUCCUACUUUAUUCUCUUAGAUCCGUCCUAUUGCUUGAUAUUCGACACGAUAUCUUUCAUUCCUUCACCUCAAACUAAAUGAAUGAAUUAUUAUGCCAACAUUCCGAGUUCGUGUAUUGUACUUGCUACUGUACCGAGUUUGUAUGUCACAUGUGUCACUACUCGUUUUGAUUCUUUACCUGGUAGCUUUAUUGGGAUGUAGGCUUUAUCUUCCUUCUCCAGAAUCAAUAUGUUAGUUGAUCAUAUUGUUAAAAUUUGUGUUAAAGUUUACUUUAUUUAAACUUGAUCUAAAAGGGGGAUUAACAACAAAUUGAUCUAAGUUCUAUUGCCUCUUUACUGGUUCUAACUUGUUUCGUCUUAGCAAUGAUUAGUCGCAUGUUCUAUUAUUUUCUCGCCUUCGUUUUUCAUUUAAGUAUAGGAGUUCUUUUUUUUUAAAUCUAUCAAUAUAGUAUGUCUAUGUCCCAUUAUGGAUUUGUGUUUCUGGGAGCUCACUGGAUUUUUGUUCUUUUAUAUAUAUAUAUAUAUAUAUAUAUAUAUUACAUCUCUAUAUUUAUCUCUAAAGUUUUGGUGGGCAUCCUACAUUAAAAUCUAGUAGGCAUAUGUAUAAAAAAAUUAUUUCGUGAUGUUGAGUAGUAACCCGCUUGCAUGAAAUGUGUGUCUUCAAGUUUUAAUGCUAUUUACAAAGUUCUCUUCUUUAAAUUAAUAUACUGACCAACCUCUUUAAAAUGUAGUUAGUAUGAGCAUGCUUCCUUUUGUUUUAUUUGGUAGCAGCAUUUUCUUACACAUAAGUGUGUUUAUUUUGGGCUAAUUUUGACCAUUGAGUCGGAAUUUGAUAAAAACUUUAAUGGAUCGAUUCAUGUCCGAAUAAUAUCUUGCUUUCGUUUCUUAAGCGUGUGCAUCAAUGUAUAAAAUUUAUGCCAAGUUUUGUUGAAAUAUUUCCUAUCCUUGUUGCCAUUUCUUGCUGGUUUUUCAAAGGGCUGGAAAUAAUUUUUUGAAUGUCGAAAUAAUUUUUCUUGCUUUUAACUCAAUUUGUAUUAGUUUGUGGUGGGUUGUUCCAAAAUGUUGAAUUAUUUAUUUUCUUUUCCAGUUACCUAAAUAAAUAUUCUAAUUCCACUUCCUUAUUUUAUUUGGGUACAACUUGCUGGCUGAGUCCGUCAGACUCUUAUUGUUAACCCAGUUGCAUUUCGAGAGAGCAACAAAAGCUUAAAUCUCUUCUUCAUUGAGUUAACCGGCCAUUGAAAAUCAACGAACAAGACCCGAAGUUGAAAGAAACAAUAGAUCGAGAAGUUGAAAGAUUGGGCCAAAGGCCCAUUCUUAAUUCAAAUUGUAUUUCGUUACUUUUGGGCCUAAGCCCACUUGUCUAUUAUCUUGCUAGAAUUUAGGACAGGUAAAAAAUUGGGCCAAAGGCCCAAAAUGAAAAUUGGCCCAAAUACUGGCCCAGGCGGACAAGAAACCAGAUUUGGGCCCAAAUCUCUUUCCCUCUUCAUUUUUGAUUAUGUUUGUUUACUUGUUAAUAUUUGUUGUUAAUCUUAAGGUCGAAAAAUUUAAAACCCCAAAAGACACCUAUUUUGACUUAACAAUUUAACUAAAUCGGUCUUUUAAAUGAACUUAAAGAAUAAUUUUGCAAAUUCUCUCACUUAGAUGAGUAUUCCCGUAUUUCUCCCCUUUUCCCUUUUAAAACAGUUCUAACUAUAAAUUUUGCAAUUUCAGGUUAAGUUAAAUUAUUUUAGCCAAAUAAUUAAUUACCGGAUAACCGCAUGUUAGCGGGCAUUUCGGGCGCUUUUAAACCCUUUCCGAAAUGCUAAUAUGAACCUCGAACCCCCUUAAUUAUUUUCAUUAGAUUUUCUGUUUUUAAUCUCUUGAAAAAAAUCAGUUUUUUCUUAAUUUUCCUUUAAAAAUUAAGUGGCGACUCUUAGACCAAUCUAAUUAUAUAUUUUUAAAUAAAACAGGUGCAACAAUUUGUUUUGAAGUUUUAUACUAAUUUCAUCCCUUCUCCAUUUGAAGUUUCAGUUCUUCAAUUUUGUACAAUGUUUGAACUUUAAAUCCACGUCUUCCAACUUCAUUAGUUUACCUGUGUUUUGCUUAUGAAAAAAAUUCUUUACUAGAAAUAUUCAUGUCCUAAAUUAAAUAGGCUUGUGAAAUACUUGAUGAAAAUUGGAUUGAACUAUAAAGUUAUUGUUUCGCAUGAGUAGCAUGUCAAUCAGGUACUCAAGUUAUAUAAUAAAUUGGGAACAACAAUUGAAUUCUUACAAAGACUACUCAAUUUUUGUUUCUGUCUUUGCAAGAGAAUUAUACCUCUGCAUACGACAAAGUGAAAGGAGACAAGACUCAACCAGUUAUUGUUAGCAAAUGAUCGAGCCAUACAGACAAUAGAAGCUCUGGAUAAUAUUUUUCCUUUUUAUAUUUCAGGUGGGCAAUUUAUCUUUUUCUAUCUCCAAAGAACUACUAUAUACAUUCCAUUGUUAGUUUGAAUGAUCCAUGACAAUUAGUCUGUUAUUUGGAGAAUCAAAGAAGAACAACAAAACGUCCAUAGAAGGCUUAUAUCCAAGAGCUCCAGGCAAGGUAAAUUAGAAUGUCCAUUACUUUAAGUUCGUUCCCGGAUCUUAAAAGGUGAGUUGUCAUGCAGGUUCUCCCUACAAGAAAACUUAUGAGAAGACUUUGAUAUUAUAUUAUAGACAAUGGCAUUACAUGGGAUUCCAGGUGGUGCGGUUCUCUUUCUAGAUCUGACGAACCUUUAAAGCUUUAUAUGACAUGAAUUUACCAUAUGUAUGUUCCAAAGAAAUAUGAAGAUGGUUAACUAAAGAGUUUUAAUGAUCUCAGAUUGGCUCUGAGAUUUGUGUAUUAGAUGAACAUUUUUUUUUAUGCUAUUUCAUUUGGAUAUGUGAAAUGUCGAUAUAUUAAUAAAGGUAUAGUGAAAAGUAAAGUACUUUGUUAGAUAUACUCUGGCAAUAAUAUACCUACAUAUUAGUUUUGUUGCA